GACGAACGCUGGCGGCGUGCUUAACACAUGCAAGUCGAACGGAAAGGCCCUGCUUUUGUGGGGUGCUCGAGUGGCGAACGGGUGAGUAACACGUGAGUGACCUGCCCUUGACUUUGGGAUAACUUCAGGAAACUGGGGCUAAUACCGGAUAGGAGCUCCUGCUGCAUGGUGGGGGUUGGAAAGUUUCGGCGGUUGGGGAUGGACUCGCGGCUUAUCAGCUUGUUGGUUGGGUAGUGGCUUACCAAGGCUUUGACGGGUAGCCGGCCUGAGAGGGUGACCGGCCACAUUGGGACUGAGAUACGACCCAGACUCCUAUGGGAGGCAGCGGUGGGGGGUAUUGCACAAUGGGCGGAAGCCUGAUGCAGCAACGCCGCGUGCGGGAUGACGGCCUUCGGGUUGUGAACCGCUUUCGCCUGUGACGAAGCGUGAGUGACGGUAAUGGGUAAAGAAGCACCGGCUAACUACGUG
rnacentral:rRNA from 1 species